UCUCUUGUUCCCGUCGAAUCUCUCGUUCAGAUGAAUCGUCUCAUCUCUUCCUCACUUUUGAUUGAUAAUACUCAUGAGUCAAUAGAGAGGAGGAGGGAAGGAUAAUGGAAUCAAUGCUCUCUCUGAUUGAAUUAAUGUUCUCUCUGAUGCUUUCCUUGAAUCAAUAGAGAGGAGGAGGGAAGGAUAAUGGAAUCGAAACCCAGUGGACCAGUGGCGUUAACAGCGGAAGAAGAAGCCGUUUCCUUGAAUCAGUCUCUCUCUCUCUCUAUCUGAAACCAUUAAGCGUGUCAUCAGAUCAAAUCGUGUCAUUGUUGAAGGAAAGAAUCUGAUCAAGAAGCAUAUCAAGGGAGGUCCUGAUCAUGGGAUAUUCACGGAACGCAGUAGAAAGGCAGGGCGUGCGAGAAGACAGUGUACCCUAUGGAGCUUCUCUCAGCUGAUGGUGUCCCUUUUCACAAGUCUUGCUUCAAGUGCUCUCACUGCAAAUCCACCCUUCAAGUCAGUUUUUUUACUUCCCCCUUUCAUCACUCUCUGUCUAUGAAUAUCAACGAAUGUUUGAUAAUAACUUGGAUUGUCUACGUUGAUAUUUUCAUAUGUUUGUUCUUCCUUCUUUUUCUCAUGUUCUUUCUUCACAUGUGUUCUUGUUAAUUUUUUUUUUAAGAACCCCUAAAUAAGAGAUUCCCAUUGGAACACAAAUAUGUUAGUGUCUCUUAACUAGAUUUCUUAAGUAACAUUUAAUACUUAAAAAUGAUUAAGAGAUC